GAUGAACGCUAGCGGGAGGCCUAACACAUGCAAGCCGAGCGGUAGAGUUCCUUCGGGAACUUGAGAGCGGCGUACGGGUGCGUAACACGUGUGCAACCUACCUUUAUCUGGGGGAUAGCCUUUCGAAAGGAAGAUUAAUACCCCAUAAUAUAAUGAUUGGCAUCAAUUAUUAUUGAAAACUCCGGUGGAUAGAGAUGGGCACGCGCAAGAUUAGAUAGUUGGUGAGGUAACGGCUCACCAAGUCAAUGAUCUUUAGGGGUCCUGAGAGGGAGAUCCCCCACACUGGUACUGAGACACGGACCAGACUCCUACGGGAGGCAGCAGUGAGGAAUAUUGAACAAUGGGUGAAAGCCUGAUCCAGCCAUCCCGCGUGAAGGAUGACGGUCCUAUGGAUGGUAAACUUCUUUUGUACAGGGAUAAACCUACUCUCGUGAGGGUAGCUGAAGGUACUGUACGAAUAAGCACCGGCUAACUCCGUG
rnacentral:rRNA from 1 species